GUCGGGAAUAUUGCACAAUGGAGGAAACUCUGAUGCAGUGACGCCGCGUGCAGGAAGAAGGUUUUCGGAUUGUAAACUGCUUUAGAUAGGGAAGAAACAAGACAGUACCUAUAGAAUAAGCUCCGGCUAACUACGUGCCAGCAGCCGCGGUAAUACGUAGGGAGCAAGCGUUAUCCGGAUUUAUUGGGUGUAAAGGGUGCGUAGACGGGUUAACAAGUUAGUUGUGAAAUCCCUCGGCUUAACUGAGGAACUGCAACUAAAACUAUUAAUCUUGAGUGCGGGAGAGGAAAGUGGAAUUCCUAGUGUAGCGGUGAAAUGCGUAGAUAUUAGGAGGAACACCAGUGGCGAAGGCGACUUUCUGGACCGUAACUGACGUUGAGGCACGAAAGUGUGGGGAGCAAACAGG
rnacentral:rRNA from 1 species